CACGCAGGCGGUCAGGCAAGUUGGUGGUGAAAGCCCUCGGCUCAACCGAGGAAUUGCCCCCAAAACUGCUUGACUUGAGUCCCGGAGAGGGUGACGGAAUUCCCAGUGUAGCGAUGAAAUGCGUAGAUACUGGGAGGAACACCAGUGGCGAAGGCGGUCACCUGGACGGGUACUGACGCUCAUGUGCGAAAGCGUGGGGAGCAAACAGGAUUAGAUACCCUGGUAGUCC
rnacentral:rRNA from 1 species